rnacentral:rRNA from 1 species
AUCUUCCUACGGGGGGCAGCAGUGGGGAAUAUUGCACAAUGGGGGAAACCCUGAUGCAGCAACGCCGCGUGAAGGAAGACGGUUUUCGGAUUGUAAACUUCUGUUCUUAGUGAGGAAAAAUGACGGUAGCUAAGGAGCAAGCCACGGCUAACUACGUGCCAGCAGCCGCGGUAAUACGUAGGUGGCAAGCGUUGUCCGGAAUUACUGGGUGUAAAGGGAGCGCAGGCGGGGAGCCAAGUCAGCUGUGAAAACUACGGGCUCAACUUGGAGACGGCAGUUGAAACUGGG